CACUGAGCGGACGCACAGUGAGUGAGAGAAAUACGGACUUUUGCUUGGCUUUAACCUGCUUUUGGACAACCAUUUGGAUUACUUUUGGAUUACCUGUUGGACUACCUGCUUGGCGGAUCUACGUGGACUUGUUUUCAAAGCUUCCCACUCAGAGGCUUCUGAGAGCAAGACCCCACACACACCACACUUCAUUCAUUCUUGAUCUUAAAUUGAGAAUCACAUACUGAGAAUCACAUAGAACACAAACACAGCACACAACAUAAAAUACAUAGACCUAUACUGACCAUAAAUUAAUUCUCACAGACACACACACACACACACACACACACACACACACACACACACACACUCUUUGCAUUGUUUAUUGUUCCAGUGAUUGUUGAUAUUGUGUUUGUUCAAAUUUCACACUUUUACACUGCAUUGUGUACGUCUGUGAGAUAACCGUGUUUUGGAGUAUUUCUUCUUGAGUGUUUACAGCUUGGUGUAGGACGAGAUGCCGCGGAAGGGGAAGCGUUGCAGGGCCCAGAAGCAGCGAUGGAGCAAGCCGGACCAGGUGACCCAGCUGGAGACGCCGCCGCCAGCCCAGCCUUUCUGGACCCAGAAGGAUGGACCCAGCCCCUCCCAGUCUCCUGCUCAGAA